UGAAAAAAGUGACUGACCUUCCUUAGGGCAUGGCUUCCUAACAUACAAAGGACCUAAGUAUCAUUAACUUAGCAUAAUUGUAGAUUAAAUUAUUAUGAUUAAGGGGAUCAUGUGGAACGAUUCUUGAAAUAUUGUUUUUUAGCUAGUCAAGUUUCUUUAGUUGUCUUCUUCUGAUUAAGGGUAGUGCAUUUGUUGAUUAAUGGAGCAAUGUCGGGUUGAUUACUAAUCCUUUUCUCAUUAUUUAUUUAUUUAUCUUUUUUUUUGUUAAUGAGGAUAUUCUGAACUUGUUAAGAAUCUUUCUGAUUUUCAAGACGUAAUCAAUUAUUAGGAAUAAGUUCUUUGGACGUGAGCUAAUAGUUUUGCCAGUAGCUAGCUCAACUAUAAUUAUGUACUCCUUUUAUAUAGUUAAUUUGCUGGAUUGGUUGACUAUCGUUAUUCUAAUUUCUAGCUAACAUGCGUUUGCUUUUAACCAUAUAACUCUAACCUAAGACUUCGCCUAGUAGUUUUCAUUUGCAUCUUCAGAAAGAUUUUGGUUGAAUUUCAUUGAAAUCUCGAAAUUUCAGCGCUGUAGGUUUCUUCACUACAUAUCCAUAACUAUGCGGUUCUUGCUCAGGACUUUGCUUUCUGGGUCGGGGAACCUGCACCCUCAUAGUCCAAUAAAGCUUUUGAAUACAUAUUCCUUUUGAGGAGUAAUAAUCCUAUUAGAACAGCCCUCUGUAGGGGGUGAUCCGAACCUUACGUUUGCGCUGAAGGUGUGUAGUUUGGUCAUUUACUACCUCCCUCCACCCCCUUCCUCCUCCUCUAUUUGGUUCAGAUCCUUCCGUACCGCACGGUACUCCCUGCCGAAACCCUAGCUUUUUCAGUACAUUGAGUUCAGGAGUGUGAAAAUGGAUUUGCUUACAAAAAUAGGUAGUAGGAAGUUUGUAGUAUCCCUAUUUUUAUGCGUGUGGUUGGUUUCAUAUUGAGCUAAUGAAUUAUGAAGAUAAUAAGUUUUACUGACAGGAAGUUUGGUCUUUUGGUAUUUAUAUCUUCCCAAAAUUAAUGAUUUUGCAAAUAUCAGUAAUGCUAACAAGCUCAUAUGUUUGCUGAAACAUCGCUGUUGCUCUGAAACAGAAGUCGAUCAAACUCUUUAAAUUGCACCUCCUAUAUUUAUUUUAGCUUAGAUUGAUUCCGGAAGUCUACGGGAGACUAGAACUUUCUUCCUGCUUCUCUGACUUUUUUCUGGUUCUUAGCCUUCUCUCCUCCCAUGCUUGACUGCAUUUGUCUGUUCAUUGUAUGCUUAUUCUUGACCUGUAGACAAACCCAUUAACGACUUUGAUAUCCAAGUCUAGGAAUGAAUUUUAUAUCUAUAGUUUGAGUUAAGAAAUAUACAUUCUGAGCAGAUGAACGCACAAGCCCAGAAGACUGCUGAUCUUGAGGCUUUAGUGCAUCGGCUAUUUGCACGUAGCCAGCCUGCAGUGAGCGGUGGUAGUAGAGAUUUCUCAUCGAGAUGAGGGAUGAAGAUCUUCUUUGCCAUGGACUUGCAUUAAAUGAUGAUUUGCAGCAUGUCCUAUCCAAAACGAUGCUCUUAAUGCAGGUGUUGUUGUUCGUAUGCAGAAAACAAAGUCUCUUCAGGCACUUAAUGCAGAUAUUCCUCCUCUUCAUGGACAAGCACUCUGCAAGUCCUAUUGCUCAAGGAUUCGGGAGGCUUGUCAAUCUUUGAUGUCAUUGGUACCUUCUGCCAUUAACUAUUUGUAAUUAAUGAUACAAAUUUGAGAUUGUUGUUUCUAGUUUUCUUGAUGUAAUUUGUUUUUGAGAGACUUUAUGUACUUGGGUAUGUAAGAGGAAGUUUGUAAAUUAACGCUUUUAGCGCUCAAGGGGAAAUGGAAAAAUAGACUUUUAUGUUGAUUUGAA